CUCGCCACAAGCACUGUUUUGAUAUGGUUGUUGGGUUUUUUAAUUAGGUGCACCCUUCAACACUUACACACGGUUUACCUUCAUCAUGCAUCUCCAUUACAUGCCUACUGUCACACUUCACAGAUCUGCCAAGGCUCGGUGGGUGACAGGUAAGUGUUUCCACCAAGCUGUUCAAUGCCUGGAGUGGCACGCUGGAACUUCCAGAGGCUUGUAGACCUGAAGCAGUGUGAUGUGAUACAGCUCAACCAGUCUUCACAGCUGGAGUCGUGUGCCCUGCAACUGCUUAACUGGCCAUGAAAGGUGAUACAGAUCUUCCACCAGGUUUUCAGCUGCAGUCACAGUAGUCCUCUGCUGUGGUAUUUAAUUUACCGGCUGCACCAGUUCUUACUACACUGGCCACGGUGAGGAAUACCCAGAUGGAUACAGAUCUGCCAUGCACUCCACCACUGCCCGACAGCCUCAUCCAGAAGGGAAUUACACUGGGCCUAUCGAGACUGACAAAGCAGAGAUGGGUGGCUAACUAGAAAAAAUUUAACGUAUACACUCUCUCACACACUUUUGAUUAGUAUGUAAAUAUAUUGUGAUUACUUUAUUUUAUAUGUAUGCUCCAUUUUAUUAUUAUUGGAAAUAUUUAGUCCUACAGAUUGUUAUCCAUUUCCCACAAUGGACAUGUGCAGUUGUGCUUACUCACAGUUGGUGGAAAGGUAAGGAGAGAUGGUGGCUGACAAGGAAAAAUAAAAUACUAUGUGCACACACACACUCCCUCUCUCCCUCUCCCACACAAUCUGUGUGCUUUUGUCUGAGCUACAAAACAUGACUCAUUUUAAGUAUGCUCUAUUUUAUUUGAGGAAAAUAUAUGCAGUAAAGUACUUUUACAGUUCGGUUCUUUGGAUAUUUCUCAAUGUGUGUGACCAAAAGGAAGGCGGCCGACUUAAUUGCCUUGUUCAGGGGCAGAACGACAGAUUUUUACCUAGUCAGCUCGGGGAUUAGAUCCAGCAACCUUUCGGUUACUGGCCCAACGCUCUAACCACCAGAGGUGGGACCAAGUCAUUGUUUUACAGACUCAAGUCCUAAACUUUGAGUUUCAAGAACUAAACAAGUUAUAAUGUGCUCUUCACCAAAUGUAAUACCAUUUCAUAUUUUUAACUAGAGUAAUAGUAUAUUACAUUUAUGCAAAUCGUGAAUGUGUUUAAAAAUAUCUGUAUUUAUUACUUUCCAAAUAAACAUAUUUCCAUGGGAAUACAUGUGUAGCCAUGAGAAA